GAGAUGAGAUCAAUGUUUGGACAUGUGAUUUCAUAUUGAUUUCAUCUCAU
rnacentral:pre_miRNA from 2 species